GACGAACGCUGGCGGCGUGCCUAAUACAUGCAAGUCGAACGGAUAUUCCCUGCCUUUGUGGGGUGCUCGAGUGGCGAACGGGUGAGCAACACGUGAGUAACCUGCCCUUUACCCUGGGAUAACGUCAGGAAACAGGGGCUAAUACCGGAUAGGAUCUCCUGUUGCAUGGUGUGGGUUGGAACGUUUCGGUGGUUGGGGAUGGACUCGCGGGUUAUUAGCUUGUUGGUGGGGUAGUUGCAUACCAAGGCUUUGACGGGUAGCCGGCCUGAGCGGGUCACCGGCGACAUUGGGACUAAGGUACGGCCCAGACUCCUACGGGAGGCAGCAGUGGGAAAUAUUGCACAAUGGGCGGACGCCUGAUGCAGCAACGCCGCGUGCGGGAUGACGGCCUGCGGGUUGUAAACCGCUUUCGCAUGUGACGAAGCGUGAGUGACGGUAAUGAGUAAAGAAGCACCGGCUAACUACGUG
rnacentral:rRNA from 1 species